rnacentral:rRNA from 1 species
UGUCACACGGGACUGCCGGUCUUAAGCCGGAGGAAGGUGGGGAUGAUGUCAAGUCAGCAUGGCCUUUAUAUCCUGGGCUACACACACGCUACAAUGGCCAACACAAUAGGUUGCUAAGCCGCGAGGUGGCGCCAAUCCAUAAAGUUGGUCUCAGUUCAGAUUGUAGGCUGCAACCCGCCUGCAUGAAGUUGGAAUCGCUAGUAAUCGCGGAUCAGCAUGCCGCGGUGAAUACCGGUUCCCGGGCCUU